AGGAGGGACCUUCGAAGGGUCCAGCUAGCUCGGACCAGCUGCCGUAGAAGAAGGAAGGAAACCACCCGGGCCAUCAUCUUAGCUCCCGCCCCACCACCGAAGCAUAGGAUCUCGUUGUAACUUUUCUUAAUUCUGUAAAUUUGUAUAGAAAUGCUCUGAUAUCGUGUUGAACUUGAGAAACUGGAGUAAGAUCUGUUGGUUGAAUUAGUCUGGCAGUUGGUGUGUUAUUUAA